CUUCUCUGUGAAGCAGCGGCAGCAAUCACACAGAACAUGUUGCAGGUCUUCAGGGGCGUCACACUGAAAGCACAU
rnacentral:lncRNA from 1 species